UUCAGAGUGGCUUAGUGGUUUGAGUGAUGGACUACAACUCUGGAGACCAGGGUUCGAUUCCCAGCUUGGCCA
rnacentral:tRNA from 1 species